rnacentral:lncRNA from 1 species
AGCAGAUGCGAUGCUGGGGUGAUGAGAGGCAAGCAGUGCUGUCCAACAGCAGGUGGCUUAGCAGUGGAUGUAGGGCACAGUAGAAGGUGCCUUCCUGGUCCCUUACACACAGUGAAUGACUCAACUGUGUAUAUCACCAAAGAGUUCUUUUAGAUCAGAAGAGAGAGGAAUGGCCUGUAUCACAUCAUAGAAGGUGUGACAUAUUUGUGAACUAUUUCUGGACAUUCUCUGUAACAAAUGGCAAGGUCUUGACAGAAAAGUAAGGCAAUGCCUCUUAAACUUUAGUGUACCCCUGGGGAGCUUGCUAAAAUGCAGAUUUUGAUUCAGUAGGUCAGGUGGGGACUGAAAUUUUACAUUUCUAAGAAGCCCCCAGGUGGUGCUAAUGCUGCUGGUCCAUGGACCACACUUUGAGUAGCAAGGAUCCAAAGAAUUUGUAGUUUAAAGUGAUGAUAAGAGGCAACGAAGUAAAGGUUCUCACUAUUAAUAGGGUGCCAUAAGGAUGCCCAAAUCAGUACUGUUUUGGGGAAAUCUAGAUGAUAUUUAGAAAUGAGUGGUAAAUUCAAAGGCAGGAGAACUUACCAAAACAGGUGUAACAUUCUACCAAGGGCCCUGAUGGAUGGGAUUCAUUCAAGAGAGAAAUAUUUGGGGGGUGGUUUGUGCAAGAUCUUUGCAGAAAUAGUAUGUAGGAAUGCUCUUCCUAAGAGAGGAUGAAAGUGGUAAAAAAUGAUCAUUGCAACAUUAUUCAGAAUAGCCAAGAUGUGGAAGGAACCCAAGUGCCCAUCGACAGAUGAUUGGAUAAAGAAGAUGUGGUAUAUACAUACAAUGGAAUACUACUCAGCCAUGGAAAAGACAAAAUUGUCCCAUUUGCAACAACAUGGAUAGACCCUGAGGAAUAAGCAGUAUCUGCCCAGGGAGCUGAGCAGAGGGCGUGUGUCAUGUGGGUGGAAGUUUGGAGCCGGAGUGGUGGCUGUUUGUUACUGAAAGAAAAAGGCCGAGCUCACGGACGCCAUGCUGGGGACUGUACCAGCCACUGAGCAGAAAGGAUGCAGGGAUGGCACCACAGAGCAGGAAGAGGGGCAGCUCUCAGGCAGCCAUGUGGGAGCUCUGGAGGCGCAGGCCUCAGGGCCCAGCGGUGGCAGGGAUCGCCCUCUUCUUGAAGUCAGUUUCUUCUCUGAGGUUGUUGGAGAGCACUGGAAAGUAACCAGGGGAAAUUAGAAGCAAAUUUAUCUAGAGCCCUGGAGGUCAAGGGCUUCUGCGACAAGUCCUUGAACAUGGUGACUAUGGGUGCGUCUUCUCCUUGUGGUGGCAGGACUGCUUCCCAAAGCGAUUAAAGGGAAGCUGUGCUACACUGGGUUUGACACCAGCAUAGAGACUUCACCAAAAACCCAGAAAGCACCCUGCAGAGAGGAACUUCCCCUGGUCCCAGGCCCUUCUCCACUCUUCCCAGGGUGCUGGAUUGUUGAACUGGCCGAGAUUGGAGCCUUAGAUCCCAGAUGCUGAUGUUAACAGCAUCCAAGAAGACAGUGUGGAGAAAUAGUUGCUGAUGUAUCUCCCAGCACUCAAGGAACCGGAAAUUAAAUGCAAACCAUAUGGGUUCUGUGAAGAUAUUAUGUCACAUAAGGCAAAAAAGAGGCAGAAGGAAAUAUUGUUCAUAAUAUUACUAUAAUAAACAGAAAAAAACUAUUUACCAGCACAUGCUUUGUACUCUCAAAACUCAAGGAAACAUGGAAAAAGGAGAAGAAAGAUGAGUAGUAAGAAAUUAGAGUUGAGAAGAGAACAGAUUGAGACCAAGCAGUAAUUAAAAAUAAAUGAGAUAAGAAAAGAAUUUCAGCAAAGGUAGAAGAGGAGGUUUUGGAGUUGUGGCUACUUGGGUAAAGAGUGGGGAGAAGCUGGAAGAGCUGUGAGAAUCUGCUGGCAAACACUAGUCAUCACUCAGGCCUGUCCCACCCACAGACAGCCCUGGAUCCAUUCAUCUGUUUACCUUCGCGCCUAUGUUGCCCCAUAACGGUGUGGUCUCCAGCUUAACUAGGCUCUUGACACUGACAAAAUUCUUCUGCAGCUCCCAACCUAGAGCUUUCUCCCCAAACUCACUGUGGCUAUUUCCAGUGCUUCUCUACUUCCUGAUGCCUCCAACCCUACCAUUUCCCAUUUGUUCUCAGCAAAGACUCUGCCAGGAACUUCGGAGAGGAAUUAGAGGCCGUCAAGUUCCCAUGACUUCCUUCCAUCAAGGCUACAAAAGCAGGUUCCCCCCCAUCACCCACCCCCAGAUGUCCUAUCCUCCUGCGUGUUGUAACAGGGGAACAGGCUUCCCUCUCAUCUCAGAGUCUAACACUGCGCCUGGGCUCUGCAUCGCAUUUCCUCCCUGUACCUCCCACCCAGCCUUUUACUGGCUGAUUCCUGUCAACACUGAAAUAUCCUUGAGGCUUUCACCUUUUUAUACAAAUGCCUCUCUACCCCAUGCCUUCUUCCAGUUACUGUCCCCUCUCCCUUCUUAACCACUCAGCCAAAGGUCUUUUAAGAGGUCUCUGUAACUCAUCUUUAUUUUCUCACGUUUCUCUUACUUUUCUACCCGUGGAAGCCUGGCUUCUUCUCCUCGCUUUCCAUGAAACCACUCUCGCCAGUGUCAUCCACAACCUCUUUGUAGCUAUGGUUAACAAACACUUACUUUAAGUCGUUA